AUUUAAGAAGCUACUGCAGCAAUGAGUUUUUAAUUCAUAGAUUGGCCCCGUGUCCUUAAUU
rnacentral:tRNA from 1 species